rnacentral:rRNA from 1 species
UCCCCUAGUAACGGCGAGUGAAGAGGGAAGAGCCCAAGAUUGAAAGCUGGCGUCUUUGGCGUCCGCUCUGUAAUCUCAAGAAGUGUUUUCCGCUUCGGACCAUGCCCAAGUCCUUUGGAAAAGGGCAUCAUAGAGGGUGAUAAUCCCGUACAUGGCAUGGAGCGCCCGAAGCAUUGUGAUACGCUUUCUACGAGUCGAGUUGUUUGGGAAUGCAGCUCAAAAUGGGUGGUAAAUGCCAUCUAAGGCUAAAUAUUGGGGAGAGACCGAUAGCGAACAAGUACAGUGAUGGAAAGAUGAAAAGAACUUUGAAAAGAGAGUUAAACAGUACGUGAAAUUGCCAAAAGGGAAGGGUAGGAGGUCAGAGAUGCGUCUUGGGAUUCAGCCUUGCUUUUUGCUUGGUGUUUUUCCCAAGUUGCAGGCCAACGUCGGUUUUGGGCACUGGAGAAGGGUGGAAGGAACGUGGCACCCCUCGGGGUGUGUUAUAGCCUUCCACUGGAUACAGCGACCGAGAUCGAGGACAGCAGCGUACUCGCAAGAGCGGGCCUUCGGGCACCUUUACGCUUAGGGCGUUGGUAUAAUGGCCUUCUACCACCCGUCUUGAAACACGGACCAAGGAGUCUAACAUGUAUGCGAGUCUUUGGGUGGCAAACCCAUAGGCGCAAUGAAAGUGAAUUCAGGUGGGAUCCGCAAGUGCACCAUCGACCGAUCCUCACGUCUUUCAAGUCGUGGAUUUGAGUAAGAGCAUACCUGUUGGGACCCGAAAGAUGGUGAACUAUGCCUGAAUAGGGUGAAGCCAGAGGAAACUCUGGUGGAGGCUCGUAGCGUCUGACGUGCAAAUCGAUCGUC